ACGCUUCCUUCCCAGCCCGCGAUUUUCCUUCGUACGCGCCACUGACCUCGUCUUCUUCACUUCAAAGUUCAAGCCACUCCAACAGAGGCCCUAGCGCAUUAUAGCACAAGGGCUUCCAACUCCAUUAUUCUUAACCUCUUCUCGGACCUAGGGUUUCACGGUUCUCCUGUGACUCCGCGCUCCAAUAUAUACUGGUGGAAUUAGGGUUAGGGUUUCAUCGGAUAUGGGCAAGAAGGUCACGGAUGAACUGUUAUCGACCGUCCGUUCCGUAAUUGGCCUGAACUACUCCGAUAUGGACAUCAUCCGUGCGCUUCACAUGGCCAACAACGACGUCACCGCCGCGAUCAACAUCAUCUUCGAUACUCCAAAUUUCGGAACUAAAAUGGGAAAAAAUACGGAAACUUUUCGCCGCAAUUCGAGCUCCGUGAGUGGAAUUGUCGUCUCAGAUUCGUAUCGAAACGAGGAUGAGGCGAAGAAGUGUUCUUUAGGCAAUGGAACUGUCGUCUCAGAUUCGAAUCGAAAUAAUAACGAGGCAAAGAAGUGUUCUUUAGGGUCUAAUGAAAAUGAUACUCCAACUCCUAGCCAUUUGGUUGAUAAUAGUUUUGAAGCUUCGAGUCGGUGCUCGGGUUCCAUUGGGAGUGAGUGGUGGUUUUUGAAUUGCAGUGAACUCGCGGGAUUGUCAACUUGUAAAGGGAGGAGGAUGAAAUCUGGGGAUGAAGUGUUUUUCACAUUUCCAUUGAAGAAGAGCCCAAAUUCUCCUUCUCCAGGGAAGCUUACUGGACGAGGACGACAGAUGGGGGCUUGCUCGGAGAUUGUGAGGUUCUCCACGAAAGAGUCCGGGGAGGUAGGUCGCAUCCCAAAUGAGUGGGCUCGGUGCCUUUUGCCGCUUGUGAGGGAUAAGAAGGUUAAGAUUGAGGGGUUUUGUAAAGCUGCUCCUGAUGUGUUGGGCAUCAUGGACACUAUUCUUUUAUCAAUCAGUGUAUAUAUCAAUAGUUCUAUGUUCCGAAAGUGCCAGCAGACCUCCCUUAGAGCAGCCAGCAAUUCUUCUGAGGAGUCAGUUGUUCAUGCUCUCCCAACCUUGUUUAGGUUGCUGGGAUUAACCCCUUUUAAAAAGGCAGAAUUCAGUCCUGAUGAUCUGUAUACGAGGAAGCGGCCUUUAGAAUCAAAGGACAAUUCUGGUAUUCCUGGCUUACUGUCACAUGUCAAGUUUAAGAAUCCAUCUCCAAAUGGCAAUGAAGUUGAAAAUGAGGAGUCCAUUUCAGACACUGAUCUUGACAAUAUUGUUGGCGUCGGAGACAACUCUUAUCUUGAGGAAAGGGAUCCCCCUAGCACCCUUCAGUGUGAACUUCGCCCCUAUCAGAGGCAGGCUCUUCACUGGAUGAUCCAGCUGGAGAAGGGACCAUGCAUGGAUGAGGCAGGAACAACCCUUCACCCCUGUUGGGAUGCGUAUCGCCUUGCAGACAAGAGGGAGCUUGUCAUCUAUUUGAAUGCAUUUACAGGUGAUGCCACAACAGAAUUUCCAAGCACCCUUAAAAUGGCCAGAGGAGGAAUUCUGGCAGAUGCAAUGGGGCUUGGGAAGACAAUUAUGACCAUAGCUCUCCUUCUUGCUCAUUCAGAAAAAGGUCUACUAGCCAGUAGUCAAUCUACAAGUCAGCACUAUCAUGAAAGUAGUGAAAUCAGCAGUAUUUCAGAUCAAUCUCCAGAUCUUUCAAAGAAAGCAGCUAAAUUUUCAGGUUUCCAUAAGCUGAAGAAGCAAGAGAAUACCCUUACUAGUGGGGGCAAUCUGAUCAUAUGCCCUAUGACACUUCUAGGCCAGUGGAAGGCAGAGAUUGAAACUCAUGCUCAACCUGGUUCUUUGUCUGUUUAUGUUCAUUAUGGACAAGGUAGAUUGAAGGAUGCAAAAAUUCUAGCCCAAAAUGAUGUUGUAAUCACCACAUAUGGAGUGUUAGCCUCAGAAUUUUCACCUGAGCAUGCUGAAGACAAUGGGGGACUUUACUCGGUUCAUUGGUUUAGAGUAGUGCUUGAUGAGGCGCAUACUAUAAAAUCCUCUAAAAGCCAAAUUUCUAUGGCGGCGGCUGCUCUAAUUGCUGAUCGCCGAUGGUGUCUUACUGGUACUCCUAUCCAGAACAACCUGGAGGACAUUUACAGCCUUCUUCGGUUUUUGAGGGUGGAACCUUGGGGAAACUGGGCAUGGUGGAAUAAACUCAUUCAAAAACCAUUUGACGAGGGUGAUGAGAGAGGAUUAAAGUUGGUCCAAUCCAUCUUAAAGCCAAUCAUGUUAAGAAGAACAAAGUUUAGCACUGAUCGAGAAGGCAGGCCAAUUCUAGUUCUCCCUCCAGCUGACAUUCAAGUGAUUUAUUGUGAACUUACUUCAGCUGAAAAAGACUUUUAUGAGGCUCUAUUUAAAAGAUCCAAGGUGAAGUUUGAUCAAUUUGUUGAGCAAGGACGGGUUCUUCAUAAUUAUGCUUCUAUUUUGGAGUUGCUUUUACGUCUUCGCCAAUGUUGUGAUCAUCCAUUUCUUGUGAUGAGUCGAGGUGAUACACAGGAAUUCUCUGAUCUGAAUAAGCUAGCUAAGCAUUUCCUAAAAGGUGGCCAGAAUGCCCUGGAAGGAGAAACCAAAGAUCUGCCUUCAUGUGCUUAUAUUCAAGAGGUUGUGGAGGAGCUGCGUAAGGGGGAGCAAGGAGAAUGCCCUAUAUGUCUUGAAGCAUUUGAAGAUGCAGUGUUGACUCCUUGUGCUCAUCGUUUAUGCCGAGAGUGUCUCUUGGCUAGUUGGCGAAAUCCCACUUCUGGAUUUUGCCCUGUUUGUAGGAAGACCAUCAGUAGGCAAGAUCUUAUUACAGCUCCGACUGGAAGUCGAUUCCAGAUUGAUGUUGAGAAAAAUUGGAUGGAAUCAUCCAAAGUUGCUGCUCUCUUGCUCGAACUAGAAAAUCUCUGCUCUGUGGGCUCCAAAAGUAUUUUAUUUAGCCAGUGGACUGCCUUUCUCGACCUCUUGCAGAUUCCCCUUUCUCGGUGCUGCUGGGAUUGGCUCACCAUUACUAAAAAUGUCUUGCCACCCCUCUUAUCAAAAUUGAUAGAGAAAUGUCCUGAUAGAACUAUUUGUCAGCUUUUUCCUUAUGUGGCAAAGGAAAAUGCUUUAAGAAAACCCAAAAAGGAUUCCACCUAUGUAGACCUGGAGGUAUACAAGCAACACCCAAAUGGAAAGAAAGAGACACAAAAACAAAUCUGCACCAGCAAAACAUGACAGAAAAGAGAAAGCAACAGAAUACAAACAGAAGUCAAUCCUUCCCAGCUUAUCAAUGAAGUCCUAUAAAGCCAAUGCCUCUUUCCUGGAGAAUCCUCUGAUCCAAUGAACAAAGAUCUAAGGGCAAAUUCCAUUUGUCUAAGUUUAAACACCUGCAUCCCUUCACAAGUCCUGCUAUUCUGUUCCUUAUAGAGACACCAUGUUUAGUAUCAUGAGGCUGUCCUUCACACCUUUCUCUUCUGAUGACAAACCUACUAUGCCAUCUUGCUAAAACUCCUUGAACAACCUUGACAUGACCCAAGCCACCUCAAAUUGAAAACAUGCUAAAGACCUACAAAUGCUGAGCCACAGAACAGUUGAUUAAUGAAUGGCUUGUUAGCUCCUAUUCUCUCUUGCAAAAGUAAACAUCAUUUCACAAGUGUCCUUCCCUCUCUUCUGUGCUGACCAAUAGUUUAACAUUCUCCCAUCCAGCAGAGUAUGCAGAAAGGGCUCCUUUCGAAGGAGCACAAGGUCCUCACAAAUUUAGAACUGGAAAACUGUCUUGGCCCUAGAAGUUAAAGCCUUGAAAAAGAAUUUAGUUAAUUAACAGAAGAUUGACCAUACUUCAUUGCCUUGCACCACAAACUAUCCCCCCUAUUCCUUGAAAGCUGCAAAUCAACAUGGCAGCCCAUGAAAUAAUCCACCAUCUCCAAUUCCUAGUUAUGAAAUUUUGUAACAAAGCUAUGGUUCCAAUGCUUCUGGCCCUCCUCAAUACUCCAGUACCUUGCUAAAAUUGUAUGGGUUUGUUAAAUCUUUGUGCAAGUUGAUUUUCACCUUAAGGAUCUUCACUUUGGCAAAAUCUGGAUCACAGAAUUUAAAUUCUUAAACGUGGUUUUCUUUUUUUCAUUUUUGUCCUUUGUUCCUUGUUCUGUCAUUCCCUGGAUCAGUGCCUUGGGAGUUCAUAUGUUUGUCAUGGAAAUCCCAGUGACACCAGAUCCUAGGAGUAACAUUUCAUUUGUUCGUCUGGAUGGAACUCUGAAUCAGCAGCAACGGGAAAAAGUAAUUAAACAAUUCUCAGAGGAAAGCAACA